UGAACGCUAGCGACAGGCCUAACACAUGCAAGUCGAGGGGCAGCGCGGGAGAAGCUUGCUUUCCUGGCGGCGACCGGCGCACGGGUGCGUAACAGGUGUGCAAUCUGUCCAUAGUCGGGGGAUAGCCCAGCGAAAGCUGAAUUAAUACUCCAUGUGAAUCGAAGCCGCAUGACUUUGAUUUGAAACGCAAGGACUAUGGGUGAGCACGCUUCUGAUUAGGUAGUUGGUGGGGUAACGGCCCACCAAGCCGACGAUCAGUAGGGGUUCUGAGAGGAAGGUCCCCCACAUUGGAACUGAGACACGGUCCAAACUCCUACGGGAGGCAGCAGUGAGGAAUAUUGGUCAAUGGGCGAGAGCCUGAACCAGCCAAGUCGCGGUAGAAGGAUGAAGGUUCUAUGGAUUGUAAACUUCUUUUGUCCGAGGGUAAAAAAGGCCACGUGUGGCUUCUUGCAAGUAUCGGACGAAUAAGCAUCGGCUAACUCCGUGCCAGCAGCGGC
rnacentral:rRNA from 1 species